rnacentral:tRNA from 1 species
GCUUCAGUAGCUCAGUUGGUUAGAGCACCUGACUGUUAAUCCCAAGAGGAUAAUCGUCGUUGGUUCAAGCCCAUCCUGAAGCGCCA